CACCUGCUUGAAUCAGAUGCAGUAUUUUGUCUCUAAACCUUAGCUGCAUCUGUCAGCAACAGUCUUUUCUGUGUUUAAACAGAUACCUGAAGUCACCUAUUCUGAGUCAGGGGUAUGAGAAGAGAAGCACUGUAUCUUUCAUAAAAAGUGAGCAUCACCUACCUCUCAUUAAAGCAUUCUUCAGUUCAGCACCUUCUCUCAGAUAA
rnacentral:lncRNA from 1 species